rnacentral:rRNA from 1 species
UACGUAGGGUCCGAGCGUUGUCCGGAAUUAUUGGGCGUAAAGAGCUCGUAGGCGGUUUGUUGCGUCGGCUGUGAAAUCCCGAGGCUCAACCUCGGGUCUGCAGUCGAUACGAGCAAACUAGAGUGUUGCAGGGGAGACUGGAAUUCCUGGUGUAGCGGUGAAAUGCGUAGAUAUCUGGAGGAACAGCGGUGGCGAAGGCGGCAUCCUGGACCAAUACUGACACUGAGGAGCGAAAGCCAGGGGAGCAAACGGG